AGUAUCUGGGUAAUGGUGUGCUGUGUUGCUGGGAAUGCCCCAAGCUGUUCGGACCGCGUUUUACCGUUAACUUUCCCAGAGUGGGGCAGAAAGAAGCGGAUUGCUGACGGUUACCCAGCCUCAGCCCCGGGUGCCCCCGUGACACCGCACAUGGCGGGGUCGGGAACGUGAGCAACGUGUCCGCAGGGAGGCUGUCAAGGCUCUUGACUUACUUGUAGAGCAGGUUCAUUAGGCCCAGCUAAUGAACAUCCCAAUGACCGACACAAACAAAUGGGGACACGACAGCCUAGUGGUAUUAUCACUGGAAUCUUAAUUCAAAAACCCAGAGACAGUUACAUUCUGGGAGAUGAAGGGAGAUUGUCCCUAAACGAGUGGACUUUGCUGAACUGAUGGCACCAGCAGUAAAGCUACAAGCACCUCAUGUAAUACAGGCUGGGAGGGUUCUGUUCCACAUUUGUGUUGAAUUAUCUGAUAAUGGUGAGGUCAUGUGUGCAAUCCAAUUGGCAUUAGUGACCUUGGAGUUAAAGAAUGCUGACACUUGUGUCCCCUUCCACCAAACCCCCUCCAAAUGGUACUUAAUUUUUGUCAAUACCUCAAGUUCUUUAAGCUCUUAUUCAGAUUCUAUUGAUAUUAUGAAUUGUAUUUUGUAAAACGUUUAGAGCCUCCACCCUUCCUCCCCCUCACCCUACCUUACCUUUCAGGUGCAUAGCCAGCUUGAAUUCUGGUGGCAGUAUAUCGCUGUGCUGCUGUCUCAUGUCCAUGCCCAUGGUGGGACACACUUGGAUGUCCCACCCCGGGGGAGAACUGAUCGCCUCGAGGCUGAGUUGGGUCCAUUUCUCCCACAAUUGUCCGAUAAUCAAUCCGGUAAAAGUCAUGCUCUGAGUCACUAAAUCCACCGUAACACUGUCUGUCCAUUUCCCUGCUCUCAGGAAAAUAACUUCCAGAACCUUCCAAGUGUUGAAGUGUACAGUUCACCGGGGAAGGCAGAUGGUGUUGAGAGAAUCAAACUGAAUACUGCCGAGACAUCCUACCACCGUAAGCUCACCAUUCAGGAUCAACAAAACGCCAAGAGAUAUCCUUGAAACAGUUCAGCAAAUUUAAGUUUUCUUCACACUGCCCUAGGGUCCAUAUAAAACAGCAACAACUUCUAAAUUGGAUUGUCACUGGAUCAAAAUCUUUGAAAUGCCUACUUAACGGCAUGCUGGAAGUACCUCAACCACAUGGACUCAAGAAAGCAGCUGAUCACCAACGUCUCAGGGACCAACUACAGAUGGGCAGUAAUGACUAUUAGUGGUGCCCACAUCUCAAGAAUGAAUUAAAAAUCACUUGCCUAUAACAGAAUAUAUUUCAAGUUCCUUAUGCCUCUGAUAUUGAACUUUAUACACAAACUCAGAAGUCUUUACAGUAGGAACAGAGGCAUGGCACUCAUCCACAAAUUCUAUCAACAGAUACAUCGAACUAGACCCUAUAUACCGACCACUGCAGCGGACAGCAACUGACAACCGGAAGCGGCAGAUUCAAGCCAGUAUAAAUGCCGGAGGAAUCAGCACAGAAGCGCUUCACAGGAGGCUCCCAAGCACUGAAGAUGCCACCUAGAAAGGGGGCGAAACGUUUGCAACAAAAACUCCCAGCUCGGCGAACAGAACCACAACAACGAGCACCCGAGCUACAAAUCUUCUCACAAACUUUGAGUAGGAACAGAUCAUAUCCAUUCAGGUUUAACAGUUGAGUGGAAACCUCCCAGUACUGGUUGAAAGGAGUGAACAAAUAUAUAAAAAGUAGAAAUUCCAAAUUUGACUCCCUGAGGUACAAAAACAAAAUCCAACAGCUCAUAUAAAAAAAAUUGAUGACAGCAUUUUUGCAUAGUGAAUGUCAAUAAACUAUUUGACUUCAGGAUCAUAAACCAAGCUUAGUCCUUUUUUCAGGUGACCUCCAUAAACCUUACAUUUCUCUUAAGGGCAACAAAGCUAGCUGAUCAUUUUGCCUCUACCAUUGCCUAGCAGGACUGUGGCCAAUUUAGAUCCUUUCAAUACCCCCUUGUAAUCUUCAUCCCAGUUUUGAAUCCCGAGCAUAGAAAUCUUGCAAUCACAGCAUAUUUUAUAAAACAAUUUGAGUUAAGGAUAAAGACUUAGUACAUUUACUAAUUAAU